rnacentral:rRNA from 1 species
CGCGUAGGCGGGCAGCCAAGUCUGGGGUGAAAUCCUUCGGCUUAACCGGAGAAUUGCCUGAGAUACUGGCUGUCUUGAGGGAGGUAGGGGCACGCGGAACUUCCGGUGGAGCGGUGAAAUGCGUUGAUAUCGGAAGGAACGCCGGUGGCGAAAGCGGCGUGCUGGCCCUCUUCUGACGCUGAGGCGCGAAAGCCAGGGGAGCGAACGGGAUUAGAUACCCCGGUAGUCCUGGCCCUAAACGAUGGGUACUAGGUAGUGGACUUGACAUGGGUUCACUGCCGGAGCAAAAGUGUUAAGUACCCCGCCUGGGGAGUAUGGUCGCAAGGCUGAA